CCUACGGGAGGCAGCAGUGGGGAAUUUUGGACAAUGGGCGCAAGCCUGAUCCAGCAAUGCCGCGUGAGUGAAGAAGGCCUUCGGGUUGUAAAGCUCUUUUGUCAGGGAAGAAACGGUGGGAGCUAAUAUCUCCCGCUAAUGACGGUACCUGAAGAAUAAGCACCGGCUAACUACGUGCCAGCAGCCGCGGUAAUACGUAGGGUGCAAGCGUUAAUCGGAAUUACUGGGCGUAAAGCGUGCGCAGGCGGUUUUGUAAGUCUGUCGUGAAAGCCCCGGGCUCAACCUGGGAAUUGCGAUGGAGACUGCAAGGCUUGAAUCUGGCAGAGGGGGGUAGAAUUCCACGUGUAGCAGUGAAAUGCGUAGAGAUGUGGAGGAACACCGAUGGCGAAGGCAGCCCCCUGGGUCAAGAUUGACGCUCAUGCACGAAAGCGUGGGGAGCAAACAGGAUUAGAUACCCUGGUAGUCCACGCCCUAAACGAUGUCUACUAGUUGUCGGGUUUUAAUUAACUUGGUAACGCAGCUAACGCGUGAAGUAGACCGCCUGGGGAGUACGGUCGCAAGAUUAAAACUUAAAUGAAUUGACGG
rnacentral:rRNA from 1 species